rnacentral:misc_RNA from 1 species
GUGAAUCAUCAAAUCUUUGAACGCACAUUGCACUCUCUUCGAAGCGUAUGACUGUUUGAGGGUCAGACUCAAUAAAAUCGACAUAGUUGCUGUUUUCGCGGUGACAUUGGUCGGUAAUUGGGUCAUCUUCAACCUUUGGGUUUUGAGCGGCUUAAAAUUUUCUCUACGAUUCCACGAACGUUUCUAAAAUAUUUACUUCUUACACGUUUAAGGUAUCGAUCUUUAUUUGAUGUGGCCGUUGCAUCGGUUUGCGUC